UGGGGAAUCUUGCGCAAGGGGCGAAAGCCCGUCGCAGCGACGCCGCGUGAGUGAUGAAGGCCUUCGGGUUGUAAAGCUCUGUGGGGAGAGACGAAUAAGUCGUGGCCAACAUCCACGAUGAUGACGGUAUCUCCUUAGCAAGCACCGGCUAACUCUGUGCCAGCAGCCGCGGUAAUACAGAGGGUGCAAACGUUGUUCGGAAUUACUGUGCGUAAAGCGCGUGUAGGCGGUCCUGUAGGUCAGGUGUGAAAUCCCCCGGCUCAACCGAGGAAGUGCACUUGAAACCCCAGGACUUGAGUGUCGGAGAGGAAGGCAGAAUUGUCGGUGUAGAGGUGAAAUUCGUAGAUAUCGAAAGGAACACCUGAGGCGAAAGCGGCCUUCUGGACGAAGACUGACGCUGAGACGAGAAAGAGUGAGGAGCAAACA
rnacentral:rRNA from 1 species